rnacentral:pre_miRNA from 1 species
UACAGGCGGGCCUGACUCUUUGCUCUACCCGUACCUCCUCCUCUGGGUGAGCAAAGUUUCAGGUGUGUCGGUGG